UACUAGAGUAGCACUCGCAUAUCAAUAAGCGGAGGAAAAGAAACUAACAAGGAUUCCCCUAGUAACGGCGAGUGAAGCGGGAAGAGCUCAAAUUUGAAAUCUUAAAGGGUUUCCCUUUACGAAUUGUAGUUUAAAGAAGUGUUUUCUGUUGAGGUUUUGGUAAAAGUUCUUUGGAAUAGGACAUCAUAGAGGGUGAGAAUCCCGUAUUUGACCUUUACUUUCAACUUUGUGAUACACUUUCAAAGAGUCGGAUUGUUUGGGAAUGCAGUCCAAAAUGGGUGGUAAAUUUCAUCUAAAGCUAAAUAUUGGCGAGAGACCGAUAGCGAACAAGUACCGUGAGGGAAAGAUGAAAAGAACUUUGAAAAGAGAGUUAAACAGUACGUGAAAUUGUCAAAAGGGAAGCGUUUGACACCAGUGUUGUUUUUCUGAAAAUCAAUUAAAGAACUGUUUAUGCUAAGCUGUUUAGACUUUAUCAGCUAUCUGUUUAGUUUUAGGCUUUUCUUUAAUGCACUUUUCAGUUAACAAGUCAACAUCAAUUUCUUUUGCUGUAAAAAAGCUUGAGGAAGGUGGCUUGAGAUUCGUCUUAAGUGUUUAUAGCCUCUUGCCUAUGCAGUCGGAGAGAUUGAGGUCUGCAGCGUAGAUCCUUCGGGGCUAAAUGCAUUUGUGCUGAAGUUAUAGCAUUUUAUAGACAACUUGUUGACUAUGAUUUGUCUUGUAGCUUACUCGCUUAUGUUAUUUUACCUACGCUUAGGAUGUUGAGCGCAUGUCUCUCUCU
rnacentral:rRNA from 1 species